rnacentral:lncRNA from 1 species
CUCCUCGAUGGUCUGGGGGUGUUUAACUGGAUUUAAGUGGAUUUUUUGUGGGCGCUCCACAGGGGCAGAGGCAAGGAAACAACAGCGAUGCAGGGGGCAGGAUCCACACCCAGAGCAAGUGUCUGAAAACCUGUCUGGUGUUUUCUUUUGUUUUUUGUUUUUUAGUACAAGGCAAAGCCUUUAUUCCAACUUCUCAUUCCUAGGGAUACAACAUCUGAAGGACACACAUGGGGAUAAAAAAAAGUAAUAUUGUUAUAAAAUGUCACAUUUAUUGCUACAUUACUGUUAUAUACAGGACAGUUCUCAAAAUCUACUUUAAAAAAGUUAGGAUUAUUUAAAAAUUCCAAAUAAUCCAGCCAGCUGUUUUGACACUUGUAUAAAAUUAUUUAAAAAAAUGAAAACAAUUCAUAUCUUGAGGCACUCAGAAACACAAUUUCAUCCCCCAAUUGUGAUUCAUUUCAAAGAGCAACGCAUUUCCCACCCCCAAAUACUUUAUUUUUUUUAUUUUUUUUUUGCUGGGUUAGGCAUAUAUAUAUAUAUAUUUACUAUAUAUAUAGUUCAAAACUAUAAUGUGUAUCUGAUUUAAGAACAAGGAUUUCAGCCACUUAAGUACAUCUGGAUUUACAGGUAGGCAGCAUAAACAUCAAAAGCAAGGACCAUUUUUUAUUUUAAAGGCCAAAAAACCAAAAACAACCCAUAACUUUCUACAGGGUUAAAAAUAAACAACUUCCGCAGGCAUCUCCCAUCUGCUCUCCCACCCCCCAUUCCUACAAAAAUAUAAAGAACAUCCCAGGAAUGCUUUGUUUCCCCAGAGAGCUGGAGCCCUCUGCAGCCAACUGGUCAUUCCCAGCUGGGACCCUCCCUGUCCUGCCUCUGUCCCCUCUCCUGGCACAGAGCAGUGGCGGCUGCGGGGCUCCCACAGCUCCUUCCUGCCCAGUGGCUCCGUGGUACAAGGUUUGCUCAAAGCUGCUGGUUCUGGUGGCUUGGGAAGACGUGGCCCUGGCAAGGGGGACUGUGGUGUCCCCAGCUCGCUGCCUCCAGGAGCUCCACGGCUCCCUGGGUACAGCCCAGGGAUGGAGAGCACAGCCCAGGGGUGCAGGGCACAACCCAGGGGUGCUGUUUGCCCAAAGGCCUCGGUACCAGGACACCCCUUUGGAAGCAGAAACCCCUUUGUUCUGCGGGACUGGUGCUGCAGCCCCGCUGAGCUCAGAUGUCCCAGGUGAGUGUUACAGCCUCGCCCUCCAGCACAGCAUGGGCUUGGCAGGGCCAGGGUGGGAAUGGGGAGCCCUGAGCAGCAGGAGGGGUACAAAGUCAGGGGAACACAGACACCAAUGUGGACACCACAACAGGAGUGCCCUUGGCCCAGAGCUGGGCUGCAGAUGGACACACAAGGUUUGGCAGAAGGUCACGAGGAGCCUGCACCACCCUCCUAAACAGAGCCCCCCUCCCCGUGGGAGUCCUGCAGGCCAAGGCACAGCAGUGCUGACUCCCCAAAAGGGCUGA